UAGUGGAGCAAUAAGGUGUACGUUGUACACCGAUGAGAGUACAUUUACGAAUAAGCAUCGGCUAACUCCGUGCCAGCAGCCGCGGUAAUACGGAGGAUGCGAGCGUUAUCCGGAUUUAUUGGGUUUAAAGGGUGCGUAGGCUGUGCUGCAAGUCAGUGGUGAAAGACCUGCGCUCAACGCAGGAAGUGCCAUUGAUACUGCAGUGCUGGAGUACCCCUGCCGUGGGAGGAAUGAGUGGUGUAGCGGUGAAAUGCAUAGAUAUCACUCAGAACACCGAUUGCGAAGGCAUCUCACGAAAGGGCAACUGACGCUGAGGCACGAAAGCGUGGGGAUCAAACAGGCUUAGAUACCCUGGUAGUCCACGCUGUAAACGAUGAUGACUAACUGUCGGCGAUAUACAGUCGGUAGCCAAGCGAAAGCGAUAAGUCAUCCACCUGGGGAGUACGACCGCAAGGUUGAAACUCAAAGGAAUUGACGGGGGCCCGCACAAGCGGAGGAACAUGUGGUUUAAUUCGAUGAUACGCGAGGAACCUUACCCGGGCUCGAACGGCAGGCGAACGAUGCAGAGAUGCAAAGGUCCUUCGGGACGUCUGUCGAGGUGCUGCAUGGUUGUCGUCAGCUCGUGUCGUGAGAUGUUGGCUCAAGUGCCAUAACGAGCGCAACCCUUGCCGCCAGUUACCAUCAAGUAAAGUUGGGGACUCUGGCGGGACUGCCACCGCAAGGUGAGAGGAGGGGGGGGAUGACGUCAAAUCAGCACGGCCCUUACGUCCGGGGCGACACACGUGUUACAAUGGCGGUUACAGAGGGGUGCCACCCAGUGAUGGGGAGCUGAUCUCGAAAAGCCGCCUCAGUUCGGAUCGGAGUCUGCAACUCGACUCCGUGAAGCUGGAUUCGCUAGUAAUCGCGCAUCAGCCAUGGCGCGGUGAAUACGUUCCCGGGCCUUGUACACACCGCCCGUCAAGCCAUGAAAGCCGGGGGUGCCUGAAGUUCGUGACCGGAAGGAGCGACCUAGGGCAAAACUGGUAAUUGGGGCUAAGUCGUAACAAGGUAA
rnacentral:rRNA from 1 species